rnacentral:rRNA from 1 species
GAUGAACGCUGGCGGCGUGCCUAAUACAUGCAAGUCGAACGCAUUGUGGUUGAAAUGAUAUGAAGAACUUGUUCAGAUUUGAUUUUCAACAUUGCAAUGAGUGGCGAACGGGUGAGUAACACGUGGGAAACCUACCUCUUAGCAGGGGAUAACAUUUGGAAACAAAUGCUAAUACCGUAUAAUAAUUAAAACCGCAUGGUUUUAGUUUAAAAGAUGGUCUUGCUAUCACUAAGAGAUGGUCCCGCGGUGUAUUAGUUAGUUGGUGAGGUAAUGGCUCACCAAGACAAUGAUACAUAGCCGAGUUGAGAGACUGACCGGCCACAAUGGGACUGAGACACGGCCCAUACUCCUACGGGAGGCAGCAGUAGGGAAUCUUCCACAAUGGACGAAAGUCUGAUGGAGCAACGCCGCGUGUGUGAUGAAGGGUUUCGGCUCGUAAAACACUGUUGUAAGAGAGAAUGACAUUGAGAGUAACUGUCAAU